CCUACGGGUGGCUGCAGUGGGGAAUAUUGGACAAUGGGCGAAAGCCUGAUCCAGCCAUGCCGCGUGUGUGAAGAAGGCCUUCGGGUUGUAAAGCACUUUCAGUGGGGAAGAAAGCCUUGGGGCUAAUACCCUCGAGGAAGGACAUCACCCACAGAAGAAGCACCGGCUGACUCCGUGCCAGCAGCCGCGGUAAUACGGAGGGUGCGAGCGUUAAUCGGAAUUACUGGGCGUAAAGCGCGCGUAGGCGGUCUGAUAAGCCGGUUGUGAAAGCCCCGGGCUCAACCUGGGAACGGCAUCCGGAACUGUCAGGCUAGAGUGCAGGAGAGGAAGGUAGAAUUCCCGGUGUAGCGGUGAAAUGCGUAGAGAUCGGGAGGAAUACCAGUGGCGAAGGCGGCCUUCUGGACUGACACUGACGCUGAGGUGCGAAAGCGUGGGUAGCAAACAGGACUAGAUACCCCAGUAGUC
rnacentral:rRNA from 1 species